rnacentral:misc_RNA from 1 species
UUAUCUAUAAGGAGCCACUGGAGAUUCUUUUCGAGAAGCUCAAUCUGGUUAAUGGAGUGCUCUUUACUGGGGGUUGGGCUAAAAGCGGUUUAUACUAUGACAUUGCAAAGGCAGUUUUUAAGAAAGCUUUAGCCAAGAACGAUGCAGGAUACCAUUUUCCGUUGUAUGCUAUCUGCUUAGGUUUUGAACUUCUGACAAUGAUCAUUAGCAAGAACAAGAACAUUCUGGAAUCAUUUAAUGCAGCAGAUCAGGCUUCUACACUUCAGUUUAUGAAAAAUGCAAAUAUAGAGGGAACUGUGUUUCAAAGAUUUCCUCCAGACUUGCUUAAAAAGUUGAGUACGGAUUGUCUCAUCAUGCAAAACCAUCAUUACGGCAUCUCGCCAGAACGGCUUUAAGAGAACCAGGAUCUAUCUAGUUUCUUCAAGAUCUUGACUACUAGUGCAGAUGCAGAUGACAAAGUUUAUGUCUCCACUGUAGAAGCACACAACUA